rnacentral:rRNA from 1 species
UACGUAGGGUGCAGGCGUUAAUCGGAAUUACUGGGCGUAAAGCGUACGCAGGCGGUGAUGUAAGACAGAUGUGAAAUCCCCGGGCUCAACCUGGGAACUGCAUUGUGACUGCAUCGCUGGAGUACGGCAGAGGGGGGAUGGAAUUCCGCGUGUAGCAGUGAAAUGCGUAGAUAUGCGGAGGAACACCGAUGGCGAAGGCAAUCCCCUGGGCCUGUACUGACGCUCAUGCACGAAAGCGUGGGGAGC